AUGAAUUACUUUCAAAAACAUGAAACAACAAAUACAAUAAAAACAUUUAUUAGGCUAAUGAAAUGAAUUCACACAACACAAUAGUUCAAUACUAUUCAAUAAACAAAUUUAAGAAUGACCAAUAUAGAAAUUCAAAAAUUGUUAAUACAUAAGAAUUAACCCUAAACCAGUAGAGAAAAUAUUGAAAUACCCAAAAGUAAAAAUGGGCACGGGUGGGCGGGUUAAAAAAUGUUCUCAAAACUACCAAAAUGUGUUGAUCGACGCUUCAACUCAAAUUUCAAAAAUAAUAUAUAAUAAGAACUAAGUGUUUACCGUGUGAAAGCAAAUCUUUGAGUGAUGUAAAAAGGUAUGUAAUUUAACAGGUAAACGAAAGUGAGUAGAAUUCAACUAACAAACCAAUAAAAAAAAGUUAUGACAAAUUCAGUAUGACGAAAAGAAUAUAGCAUUUAAAUAAAUAAAUUCCUUAGGAAC
rnacentral:lncRNA from 1 species